UACGUAGGGGGCGAGCGUUGUCCGGAUUUAUUGGGCGUAAAGAGCGCGCAGGCGGUCAGAUAAGUCGAAUGUGAAAGCCCCCGGCUCAACUGGGGAGGGUCAUUCGAUACUGUUCGACUCGAAGGCAGGAGAGGGAAGUGGAAUUCCCGGUGUAGUGGUGAAAUUCGUAGAUAUUCGGAAGAACACCAGUGGCGAAGGCGGCUCACUGGCCCGGUACUGACGCUGAGAUACGAAAGCGUGGGGAGCGAACAGG
rnacentral:rRNA from 1 species